UCCUCCUGCUCUCUGCUCUGGAG
rnacentral:piRNA from 1 species